rnacentral:rRNA from 1 species
UACGUAGGGUGCAAGCGUUGUCCGGCAUUAUUGGGCGUAAAGAGCUCGUAGGCGGUUUGUCGCGUCGGCUGUGAAAUCCCGAGGCUCAACCUCGGGCCUGCAGUCGAUACGGGCAAACUAGAGUGUGGUAGGGGAGAUUGGAAUUCCAGGUGUAGCGGUGAAAUGCGUAGAUAUCUGGAGGAACACCGGUGGCGAAGGCGGCAUCCUGGACCGAUACUGACGCUGAGGCACGAAAGCGUGGGGAGCAAACAGG